AAUGGCCAUUUUCUAAACUACCAAACGGUCAAAAAAAGCCCCAAACGGAUACUUUUUAAAUAUGGCAGUUGGGCUGUUUUUUAAAAAAACAAUU
rnacentral:snoRNA from 1 species